CUACGGGAUGCUCCAGCAAGGAAUAUUGUGCAAUGGGCGAAAGCCUGACACAGCGACGCCGCGUGGGGGAUGAAGGCUUUCGGGUUGUAAACCCCUUUUCUCAGGGAAGAACAAUGACGGUACCUGAGGAAUAAGUCUCGGCUAACUACGUGCCAGCAGCCGCGGUAAUACGGUAGGAGGCGAGCGUUAUCCGGAUUUACUGGGCGUAAAGCGGGCGUAGGCGGUCCUUCAAGUCGGAUGUAAAAUCUCCCGGCUCAACUGGGAGAGCUCAUUCGAAACUGCUGGACUAGAGGAUAGCAGAGGGAGGUGGAAUUCCCGGUGUAGUGGUGAUAUGCGUAGAUAUCGGGAGGAACACCAGUGGCGAAGGCGGCCUCCUGGGCUAUUUCUGACGCUGAGGCCCAAAAGCGUGGGGAGCGAACAGGAUUAGAUACCCUGGUAGUC
rnacentral:rRNA from 1 species